rnacentral:rRNA from 1 species
UUUGAACGCUAGCGGGAUGCUUUACACAUGCAAGUCGAACGAGUGGCGGACGGGUGAGUAAUAUAUCGGAACGUGCCCAGUAGCGGGGGAUAACUACUCGAAAGAGUGGCUAAUACCGCAUACCAUUGGAGCGGCCGAUAUCGGAUUAGAUGGUUGGUGGGAUAAAGGCUCACCAAGGCAACGAUCCGUAGCUGGUUUGAGAGGACGACCAGCGACACUGGAACUGAGACACGGCCCAGAAUCCUACAGAGGACAGCAGUGGGGAAUAUUGGACAAUGGAGGAAAACCUGAUCCAACCAUCCCGCGUGUAUGAGAAGGCCUGCGGGUUGUAAAGUACUUUUGGCAGAGAAGCGGUAUCUGCAGAAUAAGCACCGGCUGACUACGUGCCAGCCGCCGCGGUAAUUC